rnacentral:rRNA from 1 species
GACAGAGGGUGCAAACGUUGUUCGGAAUCACUGGGCGUAAAGCGCGUGUAGGCGGCUUGGCAAGUCGGGUGUGAAAGCCCUGGGCUCAACCUAGGAAGUGCACUCGAAACUGCUUCGCUUGAGUGUCGGAGAGGAAAGCGGAAUUCUCGGUGUAGAGGUGAAAUUCGUAGAUAUCGAGAGGAACAUCAGUGGCGAAAGCGACUUCCUGGACCAAUACUGGCGCUCAUGUGCGAAAGCGUGGGGAGCAAACAGG